rnacentral:rRNA from 1 species
UGCGUAGGCGGGGCAAUUAGUCAGUGGUGAAAUCCUGCGGCUUAACCGUAGAACUGCCAUUGAUACUGUUGCCCUUGAGUAUAGUUGAAGUGGGCGGAAUGUGUAAUGUAGCGGUGAAAUGCAUAGAGAUUACACAGAACACCAAUUGCGGAGGCAGCUCACUAAGCUAUAACUGACGCUGAGGCACGAAAGCGUGGGGAGCGAACAGGAUUAGAUACCCUGGUAGUCC